rnacentral:rRNA from 1 species
AUUGAACGCUGGCGGCAUGCCUUACACAUGCAAGUCGAACGGUAACGGGCCUUCGGGUGCCGACGAGUGGCGAACGGGCGAGUAAUACAUCGGAACGUGCCCGAUCGUGGGGGAUAACGAGGCGAAAGCUAUGCUAAUACCGCACACGAUCUACGGAUGAAAGCAGGGGACCGCAAGGCCUUGCUCGGACGGAGCGGCCGAUGGCAGAGGAGGUGGAUGGUGGGAUAGAAGCUUACCAAGCCGACGAUCUGUAGCGGGUGGGUGAGGGGGAUGAGCCACACUGGAAGUGAGCCACGGCCCAGGGGCCUACGGGAGGCACCAGUGUGGAAUUUUGGACAGUAGGCGCGAGCAUUAUCCAGCCAUCCGGCGUGCAGUAUGGAGGCCUUCGGGUUGUAAAGUGCUUUUGUGCGGAGCGAAACGCCUUCUUUUAAUACAGGAGGGUCAUGACGGUACCGUAAGAAUAAGCACCGGCUAACUACGUG